GCCCCUGUAGUUUAAUGGAUAGAAUGAAGGAUUCCGGUUCCUUUGAUAAGGGUUCGAUUCCCUUCGGGGGUAC
rnacentral:tRNA from 1 species